GACGAACGCUGGCGGCGUGCCUAAUACAUGCAAGUAGAACGCAGUUGCGAACGGGGGAGUAACGCGUAGGUAACUGCCCCAUAGCGGGGGGUAACUAACGGAAACGAUAGCUAAUACCGCAUACUGUGAGACGGACCUGCGUUGGAUUAGCUAGUUGGUGAGGUAAAGGCUCACCAAGGCGACGAUACAUAGCCGACCUGAGAGGGAGAUCGGCCACACUUGGACUGGGGCACGGCCCCGACUCCUUCGGGAGGCAGCAGUAGGGGAUCUUCGGCAAUGGGCGGAAGUCUGACCGAGCCAAGCCGCGUGAGUGAAGAAAGUUUUCGGGUCGUAAAGCUCUGUUGUUAGAGGAGCGUUAACUAACCAGAAAGCGACGGCUAACUACGUGCCAGCAGCCGCGGUAAUUC
rnacentral:rRNA from 1 species